GUAUCUACAUUCUGAAAAUAAUUACUUAUUCUACAUAGCCUCACUCCUAACUGUGCAGCAUCCUCGCAAACACUCAAUUGAUACCUAUCUAAAAAUUAUCUAACAAAACUCUACAAAAAUUGCAAUCCCUCUGGCCUAUCUAAUUAAUCAAUUGCUGCAGUAUCUGUUAUUGAUUCCACCGAUUCCGAUUCCAAUUGUAAAUCUUCAUCCUCCUCCAAUCCUUCCAUCGGCUCCUGCCUCAACUGAGCUGAAAGGUCUUCAUUGUACUCACCCAGUUUACGGACUUCAACUUCCAAUUUUAGGAUUUGGGCAUCUCUCAAU
rnacentral:lncRNA from 1 species